AUUGAACGCUGGCGGCAGGCCUAACACAUGCAAGUCGAGCGGAUGAAGGGAGCUUGCUCCUGGAUUCAGCGGCGGACGGGUGAGUAAUGCCUAGGAAUCUGCCUGGUAGUGGGGGAUAACGUCCGGAAACGGGCGCUAAUACCGCAUACGUCCUGAGGGAGAAAGUGGGGGAUCUUCGGACCUCACGCUAUCAGAUGAGCCUAGGUCGGAUUAGCUAGUUGGUGGGGUAAAGGCCUACCAAGGCGACGAUCCGUAACUGGUCUGAGAGGAUGAUCAGUCACACUGGAACUGAGACACGGUCCAGACUCCUACGGGAGGCAGCAGUGGGGAAUAUUGGACAAUGGGCGAAAGCCUGAUCCAGCCAUGCCGCGUGUGUGAAGAAGGUCUUCGGAUUGUAAAGCACUUUAAGUUGGGAGGAAGGGCAGUAAGCUAAUACCUUGCUGUUUUGACGUUACCAACGGAAUAAGCACCGGCUAACUUCGUG
rnacentral:rRNA from 1 species